rnacentral:rRNA from 1 species
GGAAUAUUGGUCAAUGGGCGGAAGCCUGAACCAGCCAUGCCGCGUGCGGGAGGACGGCCCUACGGGUUGUAAACCGCUUUUGAGUGUGAGCAAUAAGGUCCACGCGUGGACCGAUGAGAGUAGCAUUCGAAUAAGCAUCGGCUAACUCCGUGCCAGCAGCCGCGGUAAUACGGAGGAUGCGAGCGUUAUCCGGAUUCAUUGGGUUUAAAGGGUGCGUAGGCGGACGUUUAAGUCCGAGGUGAAAGACCGGGGCCCAACCCCGGGGUUGCCUCGGAUACUGGAUGUCUGGAGUGGACGUGCCGCCGGGGGAAUGAGUGGUGUAGCGGUGAAAUGCAUAGAUAUCACUCAGAACACCGAUUGCGAAGGCACCUGGCGAAUGUCUUACUGACGCUGAGGCACGAAAGCGUGGGGAUCGAACA